GGAAGAAGGAACUGUGCAGACAUUGUAUGCUGCUUAGCCACUGCCUCAUCUUUCUUGCCCAAAGAGCACCAUCUUGGUUCUGGUAUUAGGUGGCCACUGUGACGAGAGAGAGGGUCUCUAUAGGACCCCAGAAGCUCCAGGGACUGUAACCCACCAGGAUCCUCUGUCCAUGGAAUUUUCCAGACAAGAAUACUAGAGUGGAUUGCCAUUUCCUCCUCCAGGGGAUCUUCCCAACCCAGGGAUUGAACCUGUGUCUCUGGCGUCUCCUGCAUUGCCAGGCAGAUUCUUUACCACUGUGCCACCUGUGUAGCAGAGACUAUGCUAGAUCUUCACUAUACCUGUUUUCCUUCACCUCCUGGAUCCAUGGAGUAUACCAUCCACACGGUCCUGGACCACGAGAACAAUACUUCUCAGCUCUAGAUGAGGGAAGUGAAAUCUGGAGAAGCAAAGUCAAGAGAUCACAUAGACACAGGAAUAUACAG
ensembl:lncRNA